rnacentral:rRNA from 1 species
CCUACGGGGGGCUGCAGUAGGGAAUCUUCCACAAUGGGCGAAAGCCUGAUGGAGCAACGCCGCGUGAGUGAAGAAGGAUUUCGGUUCGUAAAACUCUGUUGUAAGGGAAGAACAAGUACAGUAGUAACUGGCUGUACCUUGACGGUACCUUAUUAGAAAGCCACGGCUAACUACGUGCCAGCAGCCGCGGUAAUACGUAGGUGGCAAGCGUUGUCCGGAAUUAUUGGGCGUAAAGCGCGCGCAGGUGGUUUCUUAAGUCUGAUGUGAAAGCCCAC